rnacentral:misc_RNA from 1 species
AACCAUAGAAACCUGCGGAGUACCUGCGGAAGGAUCAUUACCGAGUUUACAACUCCCAAACCCCUGUGAACAUACCUAUACGUUGCCUCGGCGGAUCAGCCCGCGCCCCGUAAAAAGGGACGGCCCGCCCGAGGACCCCUAAACUCUGUUUUUAGUGGAACUUCUGAGUAAAACAAACAAAUAAAUCAAAACUUUCAACAAUGGAUCU